UGGGCCUUAUCGAUUGCUCAGGGUUGACUUCUGUAACAGCAGGCUCAAGACAGAAGCAGAUGUCUGUGCAAGCAGCUUAAGGAGCCCCUGCGUUUAGGAGGAAAGGAAGAGGAACUGACAGUAGACGUUGUGUUCCUGGCUGAGAGACUGCAGGUCCCGAUGGACAGAACCGUGAGGACCCCUGCAGGACUUACCCUCCUGUUACUGUGGCUGCUGCACUGUGUGAGUGGAGCAGAGCAGGUGCAGCAGAGCCCUGCUUUCCUGAGUGUCCGGGAGGGAGACGACUGUGUCAUCAACUGCACGUACACAGACAGUGGCUUCUUCUACUUCUAUUGGUAUAAGCAAGAACCUGGGAAGGAUCUCCAGUUUCUUAUAAACAUUCUCUCAAAUAUGGACAAGAAAGAAGACCAAAGACUCACUGUCCACAUGAAUGAGAAAUCCAGACACUUCUCCCUGCACCUCUCAGCUGCCCACCCUGCAGACUCUGCUGUGUACUUCUGUGCAGCAAAGCACAGCCCUGCACGGGCACCUGCAGCCUCUACCCAAACCCACAGAGGGUUGUUUCAGCUGUCUGAGGGAUGAACCAGGCGAUUUCCCAUACUCUCAGUCAGUCUCUGUCUCUGCCUCUCUUUUCUUUUCUGAACAUUAUUCUUGCAUUUGCAAAAAGAGCUGCACAGUGGAAGACACAGACACUCACACAGAUAAAUUUCCACCUGCUGGCUCACCCCCUGAUUAGUGCAGUAUCAAGGUCUGGACUAGGCUGAAGUUGGAAGCAAAAAACCUCUAUUUUAGCUUCCCUCUUGGGCAACAGGAACCAUGUUAUGGACCUUCACAGGAGCAUCGAUAACUCUGUCAGAAGUGGUGUCGCUUGAGCUGAACUGACACUGGAAAGGGAUGCCAAUGUUUCACAAAGUGGCUUAACAUGCUGCACCACAAUGCUGGACCAUUGAACCUAGUUGUUACAUGGCACUAUUUUAUUUCUCCUGCCGUUAUUCUCUUGUUUUUGUAAUCAAACGCAGUAUUUCUGGGUUCAGAUAUGGCCUUUACAUAGAUAGCUUGUGCAGCAUAGGAAGUAGCAAACAGAUUUUAUAAGAAAAGUAGAUGUUGACUUUCUAAAUGUCUUAUAGAGAAGUAUUGAUGUUAAGAAAGUUACAAAGGCCUUGUCUUACACUGUAAUUGUUGCUCUUAUUGCAGGUAAACAGCAUGUAUUAAUUUGCAUAUUCUCUUUUUCUUGAAAGU